GAUCAAGCUACCGAAGGCGCACGGAGAAUGCCUUGGCACCAGAUGGCGAUGAAGGACGUGGUAAGCUGCGAUAAGUCCCGGGGAGCCGCACACAGGCGCUUGGACCCGGGAAUUUCCUAAUGGGGUAACCCGAUCGGGGGAAUGCCUGAUCACUCCGGCCUGAAUUCAUAGGGCCGGCAGAGCGACACCCGCUGAAGUGAAACAUCUCAGUAAGCGGAGGAAGAGAAAACGAGCGUGAUUCCGUAAGUAGUGGCGAGCGAAAACGGAAAAGCCCAAACCGGGGAGCUUGCUCCCCGGGGUUGUAGGGCUGCGAUAUGGGAUCCGGACGGUUAGGUGAAGCGGAUGGAAAGCCGCUCCCCAGAGGGUGAAAGACCCGUAACCGAAAACCGAAAGGACCCUAGCAGUACCCUGAGUAACGCGAUGCACGUGAAACUUCGCGUGAACCCGUCCCGACCACGGGAUAAGGCUAAAUACAAUCUGGUGACCGAUAGUGGACAAGUACCGCGAGGGAAAGGUGAAAAGAACCGCUGUGAGCGGAGUGAAACAGAACCUGCAACCGUGUGCCGACAAGGUGUCAGAGCCCCGCAAGGGGUGAUGGCGUGCCUUUUGCUUAAUGAGUCUGCGAGUUAUUGUCUGUGGCGUGCCGAAGGGCUUCUGGUCCAGAGGCGGAGCGAAAGCGAGUCCGAAAUGGGCGAACAUAGUCGCAGGCAGUAGACCCGAAGCGGAGGUGAUCUACCCAUGGCCAGGAUGAAGUCCCAGUAAAAUGGGAUGGAGGUCCGAACUGGUGAGCGUUGAAAAGCUCUCGGAUGAGCUGUGGGUAGGAGCGAAAGACUAAUCAAACCCCGUGAUAGCUGGUUCUCCCCGAAAUAGCUUGAGGGCUAGCCUUGCAUGCUGACUUAUGGAGGUAGAGCACUGGAUGGACGAGGGCCCAUACCCGGGUACCGAAUCCAAUCAAACUCCGAAUGCCAUGGGGCGCAGCGCCGGAGUCAGACGGCGGGGGAUAAGCUUCGUCGUCGAGAGGGAAACAGCCCAGACCGUCAGCUAAGGUGCCUAACGACCGCUCAGUGGAAAGGAUGUGGGAUUUCUUAGACAGUGAGGAUGUUGGCUUAGAGGCAGCCAUCAUUUAAACAAAGCGUAACAGCUGACUCAUCGAGAGAUCCCGCGCCGAAAAUGAUUGGCGAUCAAGCGGUCGACCGAAGCUACGGAUGAAAUACCGGUUCGCCGGAAUUUCGUGGUAGGGGAGCGUUCUGUACGCAUCGAAGCGGAAAGGAAACUGACCGUGGAGUGUACGGAAGUGAGAAUGCAGACAUGAGUAGCGAUCAUCCCGGUGAAAUUCCGGGACGCCGUAAACCCAAGGUUUCCUGGGGAAGGUUCGUCCUCCCAGGGUUAGUCGGGUCCUAAGUCGAGGCCGCACGGCGUAGACGAUGGGCAGCAGGUUCAAUAUUCCUGCACCGCCGAAAUUUAACCUACGUGGACGCAAGAACGGAGAGUGGCAAGGUGAUGAAUGUCCUUGUCCCGCAAGGGGACGCGGAGGCUACGGCCGAAGCGGAUCAUUUAAAGUUUUUGCCGAGAAAAAGCGUAGCGAAUACUAAGGCGCCCGUACCGUAAACCGACACAGGUGGGUGAGUAGAGUAUACUAAGGUGCGCGAGUGAACCCUCUUCAAGGAACUCGGCAAUCUAACCCCGUAACUUAGGGAUAAGGGGUGCCCCGUCGUAAGACGGGGUCGCAGAGAAAUGGGCCUACCGACUGUUUAGCAAAAACACAGCACUCUGCUAAGUCGUGAAGACGACGUAUAGGGUGUGACACGUGACCAAUGCCGAAAGAUUACGGUGAGAGGUCAGCCGCAAGGCGAAGCUUCGAACCCAAGUCCCGGUGAAUGUCGGCCGUAACUAUAACGGUCCUAAGGUAGCGAAAUUC
rnacentral:rRNA from 1 species